GGUGAUACAGCUCAGUUGGUAGAGUGCUUGCCUCACAUGCACAAGGCCCUGGGUUCAAUCCCCAGUACCCCCC
rnacentral:tRNA from 1 species